rnacentral:rRNA from 1 species
CGGAGGGUGCGAGCGUUGUCCGGAAUCACUGGGCGUAAAGGGCGCGUAGGCGGCUCGUUAAGGGUGCGGUGAAAGCCCGGGGCUUAACCCCGGGUCGGCCGUGCCGAUUGAUGAGCUCGAGCACUGUAGAGGCAGGUGGAAUUCCGGGUGUAGCGGUGGAAUGCGUAGAGAUCCGGAAGAACACCAGUGGCGAAGGCGGCCUGCUGGGCAGUGGCUGACGCUGAGGCGCGACAGCGUGGGGAGCAAACAGGAUUAGAUACCCUGGUAGUCCACGCCGUAAACGAUGGGCGCUAGGUGCCUGGGGGAGCGACCCCCUGGGUGCCGGCGCUAACGCAUGAAGUGCCCCGCCUGGGGAGUACGGCCGCAAGGCUG